UACGUAGGGUGCAAGCGUUGUCCGGAAUUAUUGGGCGUAAAGAGCUCGUAGGCGGUUUGUCGCGUCUGCUGUGAAAACCCGAGGCUCAACCUCGGGCCUGCAGUGGGUACGGGCAGACUAGAGUCCGGGAGAGGAGAGUGGAAUUCCUGGUGUAGCGGUGAAAUGCGCAGAUAUCAGGAAGAACACCCGUGGCGAAAGCGGCUCUCUGGAACGGUACUGACGCUGAGACGCGAAAGCGUGGGGAGCGAACAGG
rnacentral:rRNA from 1 species